CACGAAACCAGGCGAGCUACUAUAAGGCGUAUUCUAGUACAAGGUAUGUAGCAUAAUAGUGUUAGACCUUAUAGUAGGAGUGAAAGGCUGCCAAGUCUGGUGAUAUCUUGUUAACUUUGAGAUGUAUUAAGUACUUCGACAAUUUAUUAGUGACAAGGCUGAUAAAAAUUACUUAGUUGAUUGUUUACAUGUAACAUAGUUUAAUCGCUAGUAUAUCCGGGUAUUAAAUAUUAAUAUUAAAUGUUAGUAGAAAAUAAAAGUUAGUAUUUAAUUGCAAUAAGUAUUUAUACUGUAAGUAUUAGUAAUAAAGAUGUCGCUGAUGAACUCGGCAAUAUUCCCUUCACCUGUUUAUCAAAAACAUCGCCAAUAGGAGGUAUUAUUGGUUACUUCUGCUCCAUGUUCUAUAAAUAGCCGCAGUACCCUGACUGUGCAAAGGUAGCAUAAUCAUUUGGCUUAUAAUUGAAGUCUAGUAUGAACGAAUACAUGGGGGGAAGCUCUGUUGGUGACACACCUUUAACUUACUUAGUGGGUGCAAAUGCCCACGGUUAAAUAAAAGACGAGAAGACCCUAGAAAUUUUAACAAUUAGUAAGAUUAGUUUUUGUUGGGGCAACAUAGUAGCAUUUAACCUACAUUACUGACACGACAUGUUUAUAGUAAGAUUAAAUUACUCUAGGGAUAACAGCGUAAUUCUAUAUGGGCUUGCGACCUCGAUGUUGGACUAGGAAGCAGAUACUUAGAA
rnacentral:rRNA from 1 species